GGGGAUAUAGCUCAGUGGUAGAGCGCUCGCUUUGCACUUCCAGUAACUUGCGAGAGGUCCAGAUUUCGAUCAUCUGUAUCUCCA